rnacentral:rRNA from 1 species
GAUCAUGGCUCAGGAUGAACGCUAGCGGCAGGCUUAACACAUGCAAGUCGGAGGGGCAGCAUAAUGGAUAGCAAUAUCUAUGGUGGCGACCGGCGCACGGGUGCGUAACGCGUAUGCAACCUACCUUUAACAGGGGGAUAACACUGAGAAAUUGGUACUAAUACCCCAUAACAUCACGAGAGGCAUCUUUUAUGGUUGAAAAUUCCGAUGGUUAGAGAUGGGCAUGCGUUGUA